rnacentral:lncRNA from 1 species
UGAAGGGUAGCCUCCAAAUGUGAUUUGGAGGACAACAUUAUCUCUAGCUCCUUCAUGGCGGUAUGUUCCGCCUCCUCCGCCUGCUUACGGUCCUGGAGGCCUCAUCCAAUUCUUGACGGAGGGCUGCAGCAUCCCCGGGGGCUACACAUGGAAGAAAUUACAAUACCCCCAUCCAGACACAUCAAACUAAAAGGCAGGACCACGCUGAGUUCAAUUCAAAGUGGUCACUUACAGGAGGCGCCAUCCCUGGCACGCUGCAAGCCACAGGUCUUCUGCUCCAAGAGCUCCCAGCUGCUCCUCCAACUCCGAGACCUGCGCAACAAGGCUAUGGUUCUCCCCAACGAGCACCUAAACAAAAACACAAGGUAAGACACCAUCCAGUUCGUCUACUAAAGACAUAUGUUGAACCAAGCAUGGCUCUCAGGCUACCACCAUACUUGGUCUCGGGGGCUACUACCACUACAAGUUAAGGGAAAAAGUUACCUUGAAGUUGGGAUCUGCAGAAAGCCCCACCUACUUCAAGACUGAUCACAGGCACUUCAGCGCCUCGUUGGCAGCCCUUAAGGGUGUCACGAUCUCCUAGGGAACCUCUGGCGGAAGCCCCUGUGCAUAAAUGAAGGGACCUCCGGCGCAACCGGCGGAGAAUGAACUGCCUCCCCUCUGGACAGGCUGUUGGAGAAUCCAGCGGUGUGCUGGCCGACUGGUCAACACUGCCAGCUACGGCCUUCGAAAUUGUAGGUGUCGUUGUCAUGCUCGCUAAAGGAAAGACAAACACUCCAGGGGAGCCUAGUCCUUCCACACGGACAUGUGAUAGACCUAUGGGCCUCACGACAGAAGACGAGUCCCCAUCCCCACCGUCCUUGGUGGUGCUCUCCGUGUCCGUGGCCACCACAAGCACCACAGAGGCCCUCCCGCAAACAGGCGGAUUCAUUAAUCUACUGCACCUAUUAAAGGCAUAGGGAGCUCGGGUAAAAUACUUACCUGGGGGCUGGCGUCCGACCUCUGAAGAAGGGGCUCCAAAGAUAAGGGCGCACCGAGCAAAGUCACCAGCGGUGUGGCUGCGAUCGCAAUAUCCACAGAGGACCACACAACAUAGGAGGUCCCCGCUCCAAGAGAGGAGGCACUGAAAAAAGCAAACCAAAGAUAAAAAACCAUGGAAACUAGCAGAGGUCAGACCAAGAUAUGGUAAGACACGACUUACGGGGUGGUCACUAGAGCAUGUCGCCUCUGUGGCGGCACCGGGAUGUGCAAAGGGGUCUUCAAGCCUCGGGAUUUUGGGGAGCUCUCUCGAAGCUCUUGACCGUUGCUGCGGGCCGGAGACUCCUUAGGCAGGCCUCAACGGAGUUUCUUGAGGGGCUGAUGCGGCGUCUCAGCCUCAGCCUUCCCCAGAUCAUCUUCGCCGACCUCGUCCUCCUUGCUUUCCUCGUCACUGUCGGCCUCGUCUCCAUGGUCAUCAUCCCCAUCGUCAUCAUCAUCCUCAUCUUCAUCAUAUCCGUCAUCGUCGGCGCCACUAUCGUGGCCCUCGGGCGAAGAUGUUGCUGCUUCACUACCUCCUGCUCGACGGGGUCUUUCCCGUCCAUGUCAUCUGAGGCCUCCAUGUCGGAGGCCUCUUCCUCCUCAUCCUCAGAAGCCUCUUUGGAAGCCCUCCUCCACCUCUUCGCGGACUCGCCCUUCCCUCGGGCAGGCCCGGGGAGGGCUGGCAUCAUCAAGGCAGACAAGUUGGAGCUCAUGUUCUGCCCCAAUAGCAGGGGCUUAGAAUGAUACGCCACGAAGACGGCGAACCCCUAUGGAACAGUGACAUAGGGCAUUAGAAGAAGAGGCCCUGACCUCCAAAAAAGAUGGAACUGCAACACCCGUCGGGAGGUCGACCGAAAAAGGCUUGACGACUUUCCUUUAGAAACUUGUGAUGGUGUCAGGGCCCACGAGGAAGGUGAGGUACUCGUCAAUGUCCUUCGGGCUCUGCUCCUCCUGGGAGAACCGUGCGGGGUCUCUUGGCCUAGUGUAUUGGGACAAGAGGAGGGCUUGGGCAUGCAGUGGCAAGCCAUAGUCCGCACCACCCACGUCUACAUGAUAUGGCCUCCGGUCAGUCCACAAUUCUUCAGAAGGAAGAAGGGUGGUAGCAUCUGCCAAUGCCUUAGCCUCCAACGAUAACCUGUACAAGGGAUCCCACGACCGUAGCUUCCGCGGGGGCUCAUUCAUGAAGGCAAGAAGUUUGUUACAAAUACCCUCCACAUAGAACCAGGACUUGUGCCGCUCCUGAAUGGACUUUGGGAGGUCAAAGGAAAGAAAGUGAUUUGGGACGGAGCUGCAGGAUGGAUCCCCCAAGGUCGCAAAACGCACCCCCAUUCAUUUGAACGUAGACACGGAAAAAGUACCGGAACAACUCGAAAUAGGGAGCUAUCUCAAGGAAGCACUCACAUAAAGGUGAUAAAGUUUGUGAUAUGGAGUACUUUGUUGGGGGUGAUGUGAUGCAUUUGGCAACCAAAAAUCCAGAGAAGUCCAUGCACAAAGUUGUGGAGGGGAAAUUUGAUACGUCUCCAACAUAUUUAUAAUUUAUGAAGUAUUCAUGCCAUGUUUGCAACACUUUUAUAUGGUUUUGGUAUGAUUUUAUUAGAACUAACCUGGACUAAUGCUGUUUUCAGCAGAACUACCGUGUGUCAUUUUUGUGUGCAGAAAUAAAAGUUCUCGGAAUGGGCUAAAAAUUUACGGUAAUUUUUUAUGGACCAAAAGAUACCCUAGGAGCAUAGGAGUUGGGCCAAGGAGUGACCGAGGAGGCCACAAGCCCAGGGGGCGCCCCCUAGGGCACCCCUGGCUUGUGGACUCCUCGGGAACCCCCUUGACGUGAGACCAACGCCAAAAAUUCUUAUAAAUCCUAACCUCUAGAAAGAAACCUAGAUCAUAAGUUACGCCGCCGCAAGCCUAUGUAGCCAUGAAAAAUAAAUAAAUGGGAGCCCGUUUUGGCACCCCGCCGGAGGGGGAAACCAUCACCGGAGGCCGUCUUCAUCAUCCCAACGGUCUCCAUGACGAGGAGGGAGUAGUUCACCCUCGGGGUCGAGGGUAUGUACCAGUAGCUAUGUGUUUGAUCUCUCUCUCUCUCUCUCUUGUGUUCUUGAUUUGGAUCGAUAUUGAUGUACCCCGAGCUUUGUUACUAUAGUUGGAUCAUAUGGUGUUUCUCCCCC